UACGUAGGUGGCAAGCGUUGUCCGGAUUUAUUGGGCGUAAGCGCGCGCAGGUGGUGCGGUAAGUCUGCCGUGAAAUCUCCCGGCUCAACUGGGAGGGGGCGGUGGAGACUGCCGGACUGGAGGGACUCAGAGGCCGGUGGAAUUCCCGGUGUAGUGGUGAAAUGCGUAGAGAUCGGGAGGAACACCAGUGGCGAAGGCGGCCGGCUGGGGGUGCCCUGACGCUGAGGCGCGAAAGCGUGGGGAGCGA
rnacentral:rRNA from 1 species